rnacentral:rRNA from 1 species
CUAACACAUGCAAGCCGAGCGGUAUAGUUUCUUCGGGAACUAGAGAGCGGCGUACGGGUGCGUAACACGUGUGCAACCUACCUUUAUCAGGGGAAUAGCCUUUCGAAAGGAAGAUUAAUACUCCAUAAUAUAUUAGAUGGCAUCAUUUAAUAUUGAAAACUCCGGUGGAUAGAGAUGGGCACGCGCAAGAUUAGAUAGUUGGUGAGGUAACGGCUCACCAAGUCAAUGAUCUUUAGGGGUCCUGAGAGGGAGAUCCCCCACACUGGUACUGAGACACGGACCAGACUCCUACGGGAGGCAGCAGUGAGGAAUAUUGGACAAUGGGUGAGAGCCUGAUCCAGCCAUCCCGCGUGAAGGAUGACGGUCCUAUGGAUUGUAAACUUCUUUUGUAUAGGAAUAAACCUACCCUCCGUGAGGGUAGCUGAAGGUACUAUACGAAUAAGCACCGGCUAAC